rnacentral:rRNA from 1 species
UUUAAUGAGAGUUUGAUCCUGGCUCAGGACGAACGCUGGCGGCGUGCCUAAUACAUGCAAGUAGAACGCUGAGGUUUGGUGUUUACACUAGACUGAUGAGUUGCGAACGGGUGAGUAACGCGUAGGUAACCUGCCUCAUAGCGGGGGAUAACUAUUGGAAACGAUAGCUAAUACCGCAUAAGAGUGAUUAACACAUGUUAGUUAUUUAAAAGGAGCAAUUGCUUCACUGUGAGAUGGACCUGCGUUGUAUUAGCUAGUUGGUGAGGUAAAGGCUCACCAAGGCGA